UGGGGAAUAUUGGACAAUGGGCGAAAGCCUGAUCCAGCAAUGCCGCGUGAGUGAUGACGGCCUUAGGGUUGUAAAGCUCUUUUACCCGGGAUGAUAAUGACAGUACCGGGAGAAUAAGCCCCAGCUAACUCUGUGCCAGCAGCCGCGGUAAUACGGAGGGGGCUAGCGUUGUUCGGAAUUACUGGGCGUAAAGCGCACGUAGGCGGUUGCUCAAGUCAGAGGUGAAAGCCCGGAGCUUAACUCCGGAAUUGCCUUUGAAACUAGGUAACUUGAAUCCAGGAGAGGUGAGUGGAAUUCCGAGUGUAGAGGUGAAAUUCGUAGAUAUUCGGAAGAACACCAGUGGCGAAGGCGGCUCACUGGACUGGUAUUGACGCUGAGGUGCGAAAGCGUGGGGAGCAAA
rnacentral:rRNA from 1 species